UCCCUUUUUCCAUCUCCCUCUUCAAAAAAAAAAAAAAGAAAAAAAAGAAACUUAGAUACAUACAAGACUAAAAAGAAAAGCUUUGUGUUUCUCUUUUUUUCUCCCCAAAACUUAAGUUGAAAUGCAUAUAACCAAUGAAGAAGCUGGCACGUUUUCAUCAUUUAAUUUAUUUCAGCAUCUAAUUUGUUUUGAGUUUUAAAUUAUAUACACCGUUACUGUAAAUAAUUUUUUUUACUCUAUUAGGAUUUAGGUCACUCAAAUGAUAUCUACAUAUAACUUGUUAGCCUUCAUAAAAUGUGAGAUUUGUAAUCUUGACACUAAGACAACCAGUAAAGAUAAUUUAAUGAUCCUGUAUUAGUAUGAUCCUGAUUUGGUUUCCGAUGCUAUCAAAAUCUGCAAGUAUUUGGCACCAUUAGGGCCGUACACUUCAAUAGUGCUUUCUGAAAAGACCAUUUCCGUGCAGAAAAUUAUGGAGAUGAUGAGGAUCCUAAUAUAGAAAAAAAGGUAUUUUUAUUCCUCUUGCCUAACGAAUAUAGCAGGAUUUAUAGUGCUAGUGGAAAGAUUUCGGAAUAUUUUUUUAAAAAAAAAACAUUAAGAAAAAUUUAUUUAUUAGGGGACAUAAAUCCUAACUUCUUAUGGGUUGUUUGGUGGUGGAAUAAGGGAACAAUCUUGGAAUAAAAUAUAAAAUUAUUUUAUCUCGUAUUUAGUAAAUGGUGAGAUUAUCUAUCUUAUAUCCCAGAUAUUCUUGUCUAUCACAUCCUGAUAACCAAACGAUCCCUUAAAGCUUCGAUGUGGGGUGAACAGCUUCACUCCUUUACAAUUGAAGAGUUGAUCAUUUGAAAAUCCUAUACAAAUAACUAUCCCGAAAUAGACUAAACUAAAGCUAAUAGCAUAAUUAAAUGAGGGUAUUCCUCCUUUACCAAAAGGAUCUAACAUUAAGUUAAGAGAGUUAUCCAUGACCAAUUUAAAAACAUUUUUUUUUUUGGAAUGAGCAGUUAGAAACAAUGUAAAAAUCCUACAAAAUGGAAGUCUUUAUGCCAACGGUCCAACUACUUAUACUUUUGACUGUGCCUUCAGGACGGACAAUUUCAAUCUCUUUUAUCUAGUUAAGUUACAAACAUUUUCUUAGUUCUACGUAUUUUGCAACCUUGUCUUAAUUUUCUUUUCAAGAUAUUGAAUGGUAGUAGUACUUUAAAUUUAAGAACUUUCUCUAAGAAGCAAGUGCAGUCAACUAUAAGGACUUUUUCAACUAUCCCGUGUAUAAAAAUUUAAUACUCCCAACUUUCUUAUGAGCUGUUGGGCAUGAAAAUAUUUCAAUAAUUAUUAUAUGUAUGUAAAACUUGACCAAGUCAUUUCUCUGCGCUUGAAAAGAUGAGAAAAUGUCAGCAAUCUGCAAUAGGCAUAUCGAUAUGAUUAUUUUCAGUUGUCUAACAUUGAUCUGAUAAAGAUAUCAUCCAACUAUGGUUGGUUUUGCCUCUUUAUCUGCUCUCAAAUACUACCUUGUUUUUCUUCUCAUCAUAAUCCCACUUGUUACUUCAUUAUCCUUCAAUUUUGAUAGUUUUAAUCCCAAUGAUCAGAAUAUAACAUAUGAGAAAGAUGCUUAUUCAGCAAAUGGUGUGAUUCAACUCACCAAAAACCAACUUGAUCGUGGUUCAGACGUCAGCAUAGGUCGAGCCACAUAUUUCAAAUCGCUGCAUCUUUGGGACAAGGCCUCUGGAAAUCUCACAGAUUUCACUACUCACUUCUCCUUUAGCAUCAAUUCACAGGGCAGAACAGCUUAUGGUGAUGGUCUUGCCUUCUUCCUCGCGCCUGCAGGAUCAAGAAUUCCUGAGAACACAACCAUAGGUGGCAGCCUUGGCCUUACAAUUGAUACUCAGCAACUUAAUACAUCGAAUAAUCAUUUUGUUGCUGUGGAGUUUGACACCUUUAAGAACUGGUAUGAUCCACAAGGUGAUCAUGUAGGUGUUGAUAUCAACUCUAUGCAAUCUGUUGUUAAUUUGACCUGGUUUAGUAGCAUUACAAAUGGUAAGAGAACAGAUGCCUGGAUUAGCUAUAACUCAACCUCGAAAAAUCUUAGUGUUGUCUUCACUGGUUUCAAACUCCAAGGAAAUACCACUGUCACUGUCCAGCAAAGCCUAUCUCACAAUCUUGAUCUGAGAGAAUACUUGCCAGAAUGGGCCACUUUUGGCUUCACAGGUGCAACAGGAGGCCUCUUUGCAUUACAAAGCAUCUCCUCUUGGAAUUUUACUUCUUCUUUAGAAAUUAAUGACAACAUAACAGAUCCAGGGGUAGCCUUACCAAUCCCAAAGCCAGAGGAGACUCCAAGCAAAAGUAAGUUAGGACUUGUGAUUGGAUUGGUUUCUGGUGGUUGUGUUUUGGUUGCAGUAUCUGUUUUGGUGUUGUUUGUAUUUUGGAGAAAGAGGAAGUUGAGAGAAGAUGAAGAUGAUGAUGAUAGCUUUCAUGGUUCCAUGGCUGAUGAAUUUGAAAGAAGUACAGGACCAAAGAAGUUCCUCUACAGUGAGUUGGCUAGAUGUACAAAUAACUUUGCGGGGGAAGGGAAGCUU
rnacentral:lncRNA from 1 species